rnacentral:tRNA from 1 species
GCUACUGUGGUGGAAUUGGCAGACACGCCGGACUUAGAAUCCGGUGCCGUAAAAAGCUUAUCGGUUCAAAUCCGUUCAGUAGCACCA